CCUACGGGCGGCAGCAGUAGGGAAUUUUGCGCAAUGGGCGAAAGCCUGACGCAGCAACACCGCGUGAAUGUUAAGCCCUUCGGGGUGUAAAGUUCUGUCAAUAGGGACGAAUUUUGACUGUACCUAUAAAGGAAGCACCGGCUAACUCCGUGCCAGCAGCCGCGGUAAUACGGGGGGUGCAAGCGUUGUCCGGAAUCAUUGGGCGUAAAGCGUUCGUAGGCGGCAAGGUAAGUCUGAUGUUAAAGCCCGGGGCUCAACUCCGGUUCGGCAUUGGAUACUAUCUAGCUAGAAUGUGGUAGAGGUAAAGGGAAUUCCUGGUGUAGCGGUGAAAUGCAUAGAUAUCACACAGAACACCGAUUGCGAAGGCAUCUCACGAAUCCGCGAUUGACGCUGAUGCACGAAAGCGUGGGUAUCAAACAGGAUUAGAUACCCUUGUAGUC
rnacentral:rRNA from 1 species